GAUGAACGCUGGCGGCGUGCCUAAUACAUGCAAGUCGAACGCACAGCGAAAGGUGCUUGCACCUUUCAAGUGAGUGGCGAACGGGUGAGUAACACGUGGAUAACCUACCUCAAGGUUGGGGAUAACAUUUGGAAACAGAUGCUAAUACCGAAUAAAACUUCGUAUCGCAUGAUACAAGGUUAAAAGGCGCUACGGCGUCACCUAGAGAUGGAUCCGCGGUGCAUUAGUUAGUUGGUGGGUAAAGGCUACCAAGACAAUGAUGCAUAGCCGAGUUGAGAGACUGAUCGGCCACAUUGGGACUGAGACACGGCCCAAACUCCUACGGGA
rnacentral:rRNA from 1 species